CCUUUUAUCAGUUCAUGCAUGUGGUAUUCUGUUACACACAUAUAUUAAACACUAUUUUAUCAGUUCAUGCAUGUGGUAUUCUGUUACACACAUAUAUUAAACACUAUUUUAUCAGUUCAUGCAUGUGGUAUUCUGUUACACACAUAUUAAACACCCUUUUAUCAGUUCAGACAUGUGGUAUUCUGUUACCCACAUAUUAAACACCAUUUUAUCAGUUCAUGCAUGUGGUAUUAUGUUACACACAUAUAUUAAACACCAUUUUAUCAGUU